rnacentral:lncRNA from 1 species
AUUGGAUUAGAGACUUUUGCACAAAUAUUGUGAUGUGCACAGGCCAUAACGGUUGGGUCAAAAACCUAUCCACAACUUCACCACCUGUAGAUUGUGACCUGCCCACUUUAAAUGAACUUUUUUAUUUUUUCCUAAUUAGUUUAUGACUCUUGUUUAAUAUGCUAAUAUGUAGCCUCUUCAUAAAGAUCCAACAUGUGGUAC